rnacentral:lncRNA from 1 species
GUUUUGCAUUUGUCCUUAAUUUUAUCUCUACCAGCACUAGGUAUUCAAAUUUUAGUUGAGUUUUUUUUUCCUAGUGUUAUAUGUCAAUAAGUGGUUUAUACUUACACUAUUCUCUUUACUUGUGGGGAGGUAUAAGAUAUGUUAGUCAUUUUUUUUUCUUGAUGCUUCUAGAAUGCUAGCAAAAGUUUCUUUCUUUUUUUUUUUUUUUUUUUUUCCUACUGACACAGUGGAAGAGGUAACAGAGACUAGAAUUUGUUCUUUAAUGUCCUGGCCUUUGGCAAAGGUGGUAGAGAAAAUUGAAUUAACAAAAUUAUUGAAAGAGAAAAUCAAUUUUUUUUCUUUCUGGGAACAAAUCUAAUUAGACUUUUUUUUUUUUUUUUUUUGCAUUUUCCAAAGGACCCUUCAGAGUAGGUUCUGCAUCUCACCUUGGAAUUUUCAAGCCCUUGUUAGGAACGCUGAUGUUGCUACUUCCUGUUGUAGAGUGGAUUCCACACGGCCACUUUGAAUACAUGAUAAUGAUAGUGGAAAAUGUUUACAAAUGACAUUUACCAUUUGAUGGACAGAAAC